rnacentral:rRNA from 1 species
AACGAACGCUGGCGGCAUGCCUAACACAUGCAAGUCGAACGAGAUCUUCGGGUCUAGUGGCGCACGGGUGCGUAACGCGUGGGAAUCUGCCCUUUGGUUCGGAAUAACAGUUGGAAACGACUGCUAUUACCGGAUGAUGACGAAAGUCCAAAGAUUUAUCGCCAGAGGAUGAGCCCGCGUAGGAGUAGCUAGUUGUGUGGUAAAGUCGCACCAAGGCGACGAUACUUAGCUGGUCUGAGAGGAUGAGCAGCCACACGGGGACUGAGACACGGCCCAGACUCCUACGGGAGGCAGCAGUGGGGAAUAUUGGACAAUGGGCGAAAGCCUGAUCCAGCAAUGCCGCGUGAGUGAUGAUGGCCUUAGGGUUGUAAAGCUCUUUUACCCGGGAUGAUAAUGACAGUACCGGGAGAAUAAGCUCCGGCUAACUCCGUGCCAGCCGCCGCAGUAA